UUAAAUUAUUUUUAAACAAAUAUUUAAGAACUUUACUCGAUGAAGAUUUUUAGUUCUUGUCUUUUAUAGCAAUUCCUCUCUCAUCUAUAUUUGAAACCCUGCCUCUGUUCCAGCGAAACUCCAAACCCUAGAGACUAACCAUUCGCAUAUCUCUCGUUAGAUCCCAAAACCAAGCUUUCAUGAGUUCCAGAAAAGGCAGUGAUAACAACGGCGCUAGCCCUGGGAAAAUAUUUAUCGGAGGCUUAGCUAAGGAUACGACUCUCGAGACGUUCACCAAGUAUUUUGAAAAAUAUGGGGAGAUAACCGAUUUUGUUAUAAUGAAAGAUCGGCAUACGGGUCGGCCCCGUGGUUUCGGCUUCAUUACCUUUGCGGAUCCAUCUGUUGUUGACACUGUUUUGCAAGAGGACCAUGUUAUUAAUGGCAAACAAGUUGAGAUUAAAAGAACUAUUCCUAAAGGUUCUUCACAGUCAAAUGAUUUCAAGACAAAGAAAAUAUUUGUUGGUGGGAUUCCAACAUCAGUUACUGAAGAUGAGUUCAAGAAUUUCUUCUCAAAGUAUGGAAAGGUGGUGGAACAUGAGAUCAUUCGUGACCAUGCAACCAAACGCUCUCGUGGUUUUGGGUUUAUAGUGUUUGACAAUGAAAAAGUUGUUGAAAAUUUGCUGGGAAAUGGAAAUAUGAUAGAUAUGGAGGGUAGUCAGGUUGAAAUCAAGAAGGCUGAGCCAAAGAAAGCAUCAAACCCACCACCUGGUCCUGCAUACAGUAGUGAACCUAGGGCACGCUCAUAUCAUGAUGAUUUUGGUGGAUUUGGUGAUUAUGGUGGCUUUGGUGGUGGUGCUUUUGGUCCUGCUCCUUAUAGGUCGUAUGGAGGUUUUGGCAUUAGAUUUGGAGAUUAUGGUGGUUAUGGUGCUGCUGCUGAUUUUGGUGGUAGUUAUGGGGGGUUUGGUGGUGGUGCUGGUGGUUUUUCUGGUUAUCGUGGGGAUUCAUCAUUCGGUUAUUCUAGUCGAUUUGGUUCUUAUGGUGGGUUUAGUGGGAGUGGUAUAGGUCCCUAUGGUCGUGGAGGUGGAGGCUAUGGAAGUUAUGGUGGUUCAGGCUCUAGUGGUAGUUAUGAUACUGGCCCUGGUGCUGGCUUUGGCGGCCCAGGUGGAUUUUAUGGUAGUAGAACGGGAUAUGGAGGCAGUAGUCGCUAUCAUCCUUAUGCAAGAUAGAACGUGUUUAAGAUCUUCCAUAGAAGUUGCGCUGGGUUUCCAGAAUUUCAGCAUUUCUCAUCACUUGGUUCAGUAGGCACUGUGCACUUUUGCAAGUUGGCACUACCUAGCAGAUCAAAGGAACUAUUAGAUUUGCUUGUCUUCAGUCUAUUGGUUAGAGAACCUGAGUUUUAGAUCCUUUCAUGUACACCAUUUAUUGUUUCGAGGAAAGCGAGAUGAAAUUAAAAGAAUCGUCCAUGCUUUAUAACCAUAAAUUGAAAAGCAGGGGUGAGAUGGAAACUGUGGUUAUGGCUGUAUCUAAGUUGCUUGUGCUAAUCUAAGGUGGUGCAUGUGCUUUGUCAGGCUGGUUUGAACUGCAAGUUAUAUUCUUCAAGUCAGAUUAGAUGCCAUUUCUUAUGCGUGAAUGUGUAUGGCUAUGUAUCACUUCACUGUGUCAUGAAUACUUGUUUACUCAAAAUGCAGUGUCUCCUUAAUGCUGGAAUAUGCUGUUUAUUGUUUCAAGGGAAUGAGGUACCCUAAGCUUUGAUGUUGAAUUUUUUAUGUCAAGUAGGCAGUAACUAGUGCAACGAGACAUAAAUAUGUAAAUCUUAUUCAAGGUGGAUAUAUGUUAUUUAGAAGCGUCUUUUUUUAGGAAGUAUUUAACGUUUAAUUUUCCCCUUUCAUAAAGAUGUUAUAGUCCAUUUAGAAUCUUUUUAAGCUUUGUGAAAUUAUUAACCAUAUAUAUAUGUUGCAUUUUGGAAGUAAAAGACUGUCUGCCUAAGCUUGCUUGCAUUAAUUGAAGUUCCGAACUUACGAUGAUAUCUUUCAGGUUCAAGAGAAAGUUGAAGUUGCAACAUGAUACGCAUUAGUGUUUUUUUUAUCUAGGAAAUAUACAGGAAGCUGAAAAGAUGACGAGCCUUGAAAAAUGAGUGUAAAUGUUCAAAUCCAAUGUACAACUGUAAAAUGCUAAAGCAUAAACAGAUCUGUAAUCUCGGGGAGAAAAAAGCAUCUGCAGAUAAGAAUUAUUUGAAGUUUUAGAGUAUUUUUGGGUGUGCUUAGUUGAGAGGAAUGUGUUGAAAAGUGGAAGGAAAAUAAAUUGAGUAUACUUGAUAGGGAAGAAAAGUGAAAAGGAAAUAGGAGAGAUCAUCAUUUUUAUUUUUAUCUUAAUGCUAGAUUAGAAAGAUACGAGAAAAUGAGGUGUGUGAAUGUUAAUUUAGAAUUUAUGUAUUUUUAAAUGUUCUAUUUUUCUUUUUAUUUUAACUUUACUAAAUAAUAUUUGAUUGAAUCUUAAUUUGGUUGGUAUCGACAUUAUUGUUAAUGUGGAAGGAUCUAAGUUUAAGUAUGUUAGGAUUUAAGUUUAAGUAUGUUGAAGUGUAUUUAUUUUUCUAUUUAAAAAUUGUGAAAGAAUUAUAAAUAGUUUUAGGCGUAUUUGUAUACAAAAAUCUACUAAGGAGAAAGAAUAACAUUCUCUUUUUCAUCUUUCUUAAUAAGUACAUUUAUGGAUAAUUAUUUUCAUCCUUUUAAGUUUCUACUUAAAUUAUCCUUAGUAAUUGUUUUUGCACUUUACUAAGCAAAGGUUUAGUCAAGAUCAUGGUAGUCACUACUAUAUUUGUAUGUUUCAUUUUUAAAUUGUUAUUAAGUAGUCUAUGUUUUCUUUUGGUUAACAUUUCGGUUGAUUUUGGUCAUUUUAGUGCGUUUGACCUAACACGGUCAAUAUUGUCUUGUAUUGUACAUAUUGAUCUAUAUCAAUUAGUACAAAAUUUUGAUAUUUUAAACAAA